AUACGGAGGGUGCAAGCGUUAAUCGGAAUUACUGGGCGUAAAGCGCGCGUAGGCGGUUUAGUCAGUCAGAUGUGAAAGCCCUGGGCUUAACCUGGGAACUGCAUUUGAUACUGUCGAGCUAGAGUUUGGUAGAGGGAAGUGGAAUUCCGGGUGUAGCGGUGAAAUGCGUAGAGAUCCGGAGGAACAUCAGUGGCGAAGGCGGCUUCCUGGACCAAAACUGACACUGAGGUACGAAAGCGUGGGGAGCAAACAGGAUUAGAAACCCCAGUAGUCC
rnacentral:rRNA from 1 species